rnacentral:rRNA from 1 species
UGGCCGCAGUAUCUUGACUGUGCAAAGGUAGCAUAAUAAUUAGGUUAUUAAUUAUAAUCUAGCAUGAAAGGUCACACGUAAAAAUACCUAUCUUAUCAUCAAAAGUAAAUUUAAAUUGUAAGUAAAAAUGCUUACACCCCAAUUAAACAAGAAGACCCUAUUAAGUUUAAUAUUGACAUUCAACACACAUAGACCAAACAUAAAAAACAAAUAUUUUGUUGGGGCGACAAAUAAUAACAAUACAAUAUAAAUACAAACUUAAAUAAAAGAUACUGAGCCGUCACGCACGAUCAUAAGAACAAAUUACUAUAGGGAUAACAGCAUAAUUCCAUUAAAGAGUUCCUAUCGAUAAUAGAGAUUAUGACCUCGAUGUUGAAUCAAAAAUUCUACAAAACGCAAAAGUUUUAAAAGAUAGUCUGUUCGACUAUUAAUCUUUUACG